GUGGCUGAACUCCUUGGUGGACGUCUGUGAUUGCAGCUCAUCUCCACCAGGCUCUAAAAAACCUUGGCAUGUGCACUACCAGGAUACAGAAUCAUUAUCCUGUGACCACUGAAGGGCAGGCAAGACAUGAAGUAGACACAGUAGUGGAGUGGAACAGAUCACUGAAUUCCAAGGAGGACAUGCACAGCAGCAGGGUGCAAAAUGAAUGUCAACAGCUGCUGAAUUCCAAAGAAGACAUGAAGGAGACACACUAG
rnacentral:lncRNA from 1 species